rnacentral:rRNA from 1 species
UACAGAGGGGGCAAGCGUUGUUCGGAAUUACUGGGCGUAAAGGGCGCGUAGGCGGCCUGCUAAGUCGAACGUGAAAUCCCCGGGCUCAACCCGGGAACUGCGUCCGAUACUGGUUGGCUUGAAUCCGGGAGAGGGAUGCGGAAUUCCAGGUGUAGUGGUGAAAUGCGUAGAUAUCUGGAGGAACACCGGUGGCGAAGGCGGCAUCCUGGACCGACACUGACGCUGAGGAGCGAAAGCCAGGGGAGCAAACGGG